rnacentral:rRNA from 1 species
GAGUUUGAUCCUGGCUCAACGAACGAACGCUGGCGGCGUGCCUAACACAUGCAAGUCGAGCGCGAAAAGGGCAACCUGAGUAGAGCGGCGCACGGGUGCGUAACACGUGGGUAAUCUGCCUCAGAAUCUGGGAUAACCUUCCGAAAGGUUGGCUAAUACCGGAUAAGCUCGCGAGGUCUUCGGACUUUGCGGGAAAAGGUGGCCUCUAUUCAUAAGCCAUCAUUUUGAGAUGAGCCCGCGGCCCAUCAGCUAGUUGGCGUGGUAAAAGCCCACCAAGGCUACGACGGGUAGCUGGUCUGAGAGGACGAUCAGCCACACUGGAACUGAGACACGGUCCAGACUCCUACGGGAGGCAGCAGUGGGGAAUUUUGCACAAUGGGCGAAAGCCUGAUGCAGCGACGCCGCGUGUGUGAUGAAGGUCGUUCGGAUCGUAAAGCACUUUCGACCGGGACGAACAACC